GUCAAAGCGUUCAUUAAAGUCGAGUUGGCUUAGGGAUACGUUCGUUGGGUAGGGGAGCGUUCUGUAAGCCUGUGAAGGUGUGUCGUGAGGCAUGCUGGAGGUAUCAGAAGUGCGAAUGCUGACAUAAGUAACGAUAAAGCGGGUGAAAAGCCCGCUCGCCGGAAGACCAAGGGUUCCUGUCCAACGUUAAUCGGGGCAGGGUGAGUCGACCCCUAAGGCGAGGCCGAAAGGCGUAGUCGAUGGGAAACGGGUUAAUAUUCCCGUACUUGGUGUUACUGCGAAGGGGGGACGGAGAAGGCUAUGUUGGCCGGGCGACGGUUGUCCCGGUUUAAGCGUGUAGGUGUGUGUUCCAGGUAAAUCCGGUUCACUUUAACACUG
rnacentral:rRNA from 2 species